UAGGUAUUUUGUUUAUUUUUUUUUUGUAUCGAAUUCAAAAACAGGGAAAUGACACUGCAAUUUGAUUCCACUAUGUUACGUUAUUCAUUAUUUAUUGUACGUGAAUAAAAUAAAGUCGAGAACUGUGAGAUUUUCAGAAGAAUUUGUUUUUGUAUUUUGUAACAUUAGUAAAUAAUAACGUGUAUUGUGAUUGAAAUUAUAUUGUUUAUUGUAUUGUAUUCUAAAAAAUUAUUAAUUUUUUAAUUACAUAUAUAAGAAUUGUUUGUUACGUGUAUUAACAAAAAAUGCAACAAAAAAUUGUAAUAUUCAGGAUAAUCACAAGCAAAGAAAAUGUAACAACCUAACAUCAUUUUUAAGGCCGGAUAUCUUCAAACCAAUUUUGCCGAAAGUUUUCUUAAAACAAAAUUUUAACGCAUUUCAACUUCAACAGCUAUAAAUUCCACCUGAGAAAAAAAUAAAAAUCAGUUGUCGCAGCUUAUAAAAUUCCAUUUUUGUAUUUAAAUAGCAACGUUAAUAAAUUAAA